rnacentral:rRNA from 1 species
GGUUAAGCGACUAAGCGUACACGGUGGAUGCCCUGGCAGUCAGAGGCGAUGAAGGGCGUGCUAAUCUGCGAUAAGCGCCGGUAAGGUGAUAUGAACCGUUAUAACCGGCGAUACCCGAAUGGGGAAACCCAGUGUGACUCGUCACACUAUCAUUAACUGAAUCCAUAGGUUAAUGAGGCGAACCGGGGGAACUGAAACAUCUAAGUACCCCGAGGAAAAGAAAUCAACCGAGAUUCCCCCAGUAGCGGCGAGCGAACGGGGAGGAGCCCAGAGCCUGAAUCAGCAUGUGUGUUAGUGGAAGCGUCUGGAAAGGCGCGCGAUACAGGGUGACAGCCCCGUACACAAAAGCGCAUGUGCUGUGAGCUCGAUGAGUAGGGCGGGACACGUGGUAUCCUGUCUGAAUAUGGGGGGACCAUCCUCCAAGGCUAAAUACUCCUGACUGACCGAUAGUGAACCAGUACCGUGAGGGAAAGGCGAAAAGAACCCCGGCGAGGGGAGUGAAAAAGAACCUGAAACCGUGUACGUACAAGCAGUGGGAGCCCCACCACCAAAGCAUUCUCUGGUGUUGAAGGCCCUGCAAAGCAGCAUCGCGGUGGCGGAGCGUCGUUUGCGACGCCCAACACACAAAACAAGCGGUGAAUGCUUUGGGGUGGGGUGACUGCGUACCUUUUGUAUAAUGGGUCAGCGACUUAUAUUCUGUAGCAAGGUUAACCGAAUAGGGGAGCCGGAGGGAAACCGAGUCUUAAUUGGGCGUUAAGUUGCAGGGUAUAGACCCGAAACCCGGUGAUCUAGCCAUGGGCAGGUUGAAGGUUGGGUAACACUAACUGGAGGACCGAACCGACUAAUGUUGAAAAAUUAGCGGAUGACCUGUGGCUGGGGGUGAAAGGCCAAUCAAACCGGGAGAUAGCUGGUUCUCCCCGAAAGCUAUUUAGGUAGCGCCUCGUGAAUUCAUCUCCGGGGGUAGAGCACUGUUUCGGCUAGGGGGCCAUCCCGGCUUACCAACCCGAUGCAAACUGCGAAUACCGGAGAAUGUUAUCACGGGAGACACACGGCGGGUGCUAACGUCCGUCGUGAAGAGGGAAACAACCCAGACCGCCAGCUAAGGUCCCAAAGUCAUGGUUAAGUGGGAAACGAUGUGGGAAGGCCCAGACAGCCAGGAUGUUGGCUUAGAAGCAGCCAUCAUUUAAAGAAAGCGUAAUAGCUCACUGGUCGAGUCGGCCUGCGCGGAAGAUGUAACGGGGCUAAACCAUGCACCGAAGCUGCGGCAGCGACGCUGAUGCGUUGUUGGGUAGGGGAGCGUUCUGUAAGCCUGUGAAGGUGUGUCGUGAGGCAUGCUGGAGGUAUCAGAAGUGCGAAUGCUGACAUAAGUAACGAUAAAGCGGGUGAAAAGCCCGCUCGCCGGAAGACCAAGGGUUCCUGUCCAACGUUAAUCGGGGCAGGGUGAGUCGACCCCUAAGGCGAGGCCGAAAGGCGUAGUCGAUGGGAAACGGGUUAAUAUUCCCGUACUUGGUGUUACUGCGAAGGGGGGACGGAGAAGGCUAUGUUGGCCGGGCGACGGUUGUCCCGGUUUAAGCGUGUAGGUGUGUGUUCCAGGUAAAUCCGGUUCACUUUAACACUGAGGCGUGACGACGAGGCACUACGGUGCUGAAGCAACAAAUGCCCUGCUUCCAGGAAAAGCCUCUAAGCAUCAGGUAACAUCAAAUCGUACCCCAAACCGACACAGGUGGUCAGGUAGAGAAUACCAAGGCGCUUGAGAGAACUCGGGUGAAGGAACUAGGCAAAAUGGUGCCGUAACUUCGGGAGAAGGCACGCUGACACGUAGGUGAAGUGAUUUACUCAUGGAGCUGAAGUCAGUCGAAGAUACCAGCUGGCUGCAACUGUUUAUUAAAAACACAGCACUGUGCAAACACGAAAGUGGACGUAUACGGUGUGACGCCUGCCCGGUGCCGGAAGGUUAAUUGAUGGGGUCAGCGUAAGCGAAGCUCCUGAUCGAAGCCCCGGUAAACGGCGGCCGUAACUAUAACGGUCCUAAGGUAGCGAAAUUCCUUGUCGGGUAAGUUCCGACCUGCACGAAUGGCGUAAUGAUGGCCAGGCUGUCUCCACCCGAGACUCAGUGAAAUUGAACUCGCUGUGAAGAUGCAGUGUACCCGCGGCAAGACGGAAAGACCCCGUGAACCUUUACUAUAGCUUGACACUGAACAUUGAGCCUUGAUGUGUAGGAUAGGUGGGAGGCUUUGAAGUGUGGACGCCAGUCUGCAUGGAGCCGACCUUGAAAUACCACCCUUUAAUGUUUGAUGUUCUAACGUGGACCCGUAAUCCGGGUUGCGGACAGUGUCUGGUGGGUAGUUUGACUGGGGCGGUCUCCUCCUAAAGAGUAACGGAGGAGCACGAAGGUUGGCUAAUCCUGGUCGGACAUCAGGAGGUUAGUGCAAUGGCAUAAGCCAGCUUGACUGCGAGCGUGACGGCGCGAGCAGGUGCGAAAGCAGGUCAUAGUGAUCCGGUGGUUCUGAAUGGAAGGGCCAUCGCUCAACGGAUAAAAGGUACUCCGGGGAUAACAGGCUGAUACCGCCCAAGAGUUCAUAUCGACGGCGGUGUUUGGCACCUCGAUGUCGGCUCAUCACAUCCUGGGGCUGAAGUAGGUCCCAAGGGUAUGGCUGUUCGCCAUUUAAAGUGGUACGCGAGCUGGGUUUAGAACGUCGUGAGACAGUUCGGUCCCUAUCUGCCGUGGGCGCUGGAGAACUGAGGGGGGCUGCUCCUAGUACGAGAGGACCGGAGUGGACGCAUCACUGGUGUUCGGGUUGUCAUGCCAAUGGCACUGCCCGGUAGCUAAAUGCGGAAGAGAUAAGUGCUGAAAGCAUCUAAGCACGAAACUUGCCCCGAGAUGAGUUCUCCCUGAGACUUUAGGUCUCCUGAAGGAACGUUGAAGACGACGACGUUGAUAGGCCGGGUGUGUAAGCGCAGCGAUGCGUUGAGCUAACCGGUACUAAUGAACCGUGAGGCUUAACCUU